rnacentral:rRNA from 1 species
GGGAAAUCUUACCGGGUCCGGACAUAUUGAGGAUUGACAGGCGCUUAAUGUAAUUAUAAUUUGAAAAAAAUUUWUUUUUUUUUUUUAUUAUAAAUUUACGUUAUCAAAUAUGCUAGUCCUUUCAUGAUUGUGUGAUAGGUGGUGCAUGGCCGUUCUUAGUUCGUGGAGUGAUCUGUCUGCUUAAUUGCGUUUCAUUAAAAGCCUCUAAUGUACAUUACUAUUGUUUCCAACCAAANUAUUCUUUUUAAAAAUUUUGCAAAAUUUAUUUUUUGUAUUUAUUUUAUAAAAGA